rnacentral:rRNA from 1 species
UAGGGAAUCUUCCACAAUGGACGCAAGUCUGAUGGAGCAACGCCGCGUGAGUGAAGAAGGUUUUCGGACCGUAAAGCUCUGUUGUUGGCGAAGAAGGAUAGAGGUAGUAACUGGCCUUUAUUUGACGGUAAUCAACCAGAAAGUCACGGCUAACUACGUGCCAGCAGCCGCGGUAAUACGUAGGUGGCAAGCGUUGUCCGGAUUUAUUGGGCGUAAAGCGAGCGCAGGCGGAAGAAUAAGUCUGAUGUGAAAGCCCUCGGCUUAACCGAGGAAUUGCAUCGGAAACUGUUUUCUUGAGUGCAGAAGAGGAGAGUAGAACUCCAUGUGUAGCGGUGGAAUGCGUAGAUAUAUGGAAGAAUACCAGUGGCGAAGGCGGCUCUCUGGUCUGCAACUGACGCUGAGGCUCGAAAGCAUGGGUAGCGAACAGGAUUAGAUACCCUGGUAGUCCAUGCCGUAAACGAUGAGUGCUAAGUGUUGGGAGGCUUCCGCCUCUCAGUGCUGCAGCUAACGCAUUAAGCACUCCGCCUGGGGGAGUACGACCGCAAGGUUGAAAC